AACGAACGCUGGCGGCAGGCCUAACACAUGCAAGUCGAGCGCGCCCUUCGGGGUGAGCGGCGGACGGGUGAGUAACGCGUGGGAACGUGCCCUUCUCUGCGGAAUAGCCUCGGGAAACUGAGAGUAAUACCGCAUACGCCCUUUGGGGGAAAGAUUUAUCGGAGAAGGAUCGGCCCGCGUUGGAUUAGGUAGUUGGUGGGGUAAUGGCCCACCAAGCGGACGAUCCAUAGCUGGUUUGAGAGGAUGAUCAGCCACACUGGGACUGAGACACGGCCCAGCCUCCUACGGGAGGCAGCAGUGGGGAAUCUUAGACAAUGGGGGCAACCCUGAUCUAGCCAUGCCGCGUGAGUGAUGAAGGCCUUAGGGUUGUAAAGCUCUUUCAGCUGGGAAGAUAAUGACGGUACCAGCAGAAGAAGCCCCGGCUAACUCCGUG
rnacentral:rRNA from 1 species